GCCCGGCUGGCUCAGUCGGUGGAGUGUGCAACUCUCGAUCUCAGGGUUGUGAGUUCAAGCCUCACGUUGGGCA